ACUGGGGGUGGAAGGCGAGUCAGUAAGGGCGUAAAGCUACCAACCUGAAGGUUGUGGGUUCAAUUCCCACCCUUUGUA